GAAAAUAAAGUAUGGGAUCUGAUGGAAUUAUCAAAAAAGUUUGAGCCUAUAAGUAGUAAGUGAGCAUUUAAAAUUGAGAAAGACUUUAAAGAUAAUAUUAAAUACUUUAAUGUUAAAUUGGUUAUAUAAUAGUACAUUAAAAGGGGCAUAAAUUACAUUGAUACUUUUUCUUCAGUCUCUUGUAAUGAUUCUUUAUGUGU
rnacentral:lncRNA from 1 species